rnacentral:rRNA from 1 species
AUAUCAAUAAGCGGAGGAAAAGAAACUAACAAGGAUUCCCCUAGUAACGGCGAGCGAACCGGGAAAAGCCCAGAAUGUAAAUCUCCCUUGGAGAAUUGUAGUCUAUAGAAGUGCCCUCUGUAACGAGCGUGGCCUAAGUCUCUUGGAAAAGGGCGUCAGAGAGGGUGAGAACCCCGUCGGCCAUAGCUUUGUUGCUCCACGAGGCGCUUUCACAGAGUCGGGGUUGCUUGGGAAUGCAGCCCUAAUUUGGUGGUAAACUCCACCUAAGGCUAAAUAUUGCCGUGAGACCGAUAGCGCACAAGUA